GCAUGGAUGCCGCCCCCAAUCUUCAUUUUGAAAAGAAGGUUCGAAUCCCGCAACAUGUUUCUUUUAAUCGUAUGAAAAGCAGUGCACCCUGAUCAGAGGACUCAGAAUUGAAGGCGAGUGGUACAAGAGAUAGAGAAAGACCGUAGGGGAGGGGUUGUUAAAAUGGAGGAAAGCUACCAUUAAAUUUAAGGUUUGCAAUUCCGUGCAAUUUGAUUCUGCUGAGUCUUGAUUACAUGCUAUAUACCAUUUUGUUCAAGAAAAAGAGCUCUACAUGUAUUAUUGUAAUGGUUUUAAAAAAUAUUGCUCCUGUCUUGUUUGAAUUCCUCUCUUGUUCCACUCAUGCAAUUUUAAGCAGUGUGCUGAAAUGUGUCUGUAACUUUGUUAUCUAGAGUGUGUUUUCCCCACGAAUAAAGCACAUGUACUCUGAAAAACUUACCUGAUUAUAGAUUUUCAAUAUGAAUGUUGUGCAAUAAUUAAAAAACGUUUUUCCAUAACUUAUAUAUUGGUUUUUCAUUUAUGAAGGACAGUAUCCAAUUUCAAAAGAAAUUAACCUUACCCACGUUUACAUAAAACUGUUAAAAGACAUUAACAAUGGAUUUCAUGUUACAUUUAUUCACAUUUCAAUUCAUACAUCACGUUUUCGACCCGAUUCCAAAUAUCGCUUAUAAAUAUACUUCUAUCUAGCCGGAACUAUCUUAUAUGUAUGAGAGAAAGAGAGAGAGAGAGAGAGAGAGAGAGAGAGAGAGAGAGAGAGAGAGAGAGAGAGAGAGAGAGAGAGAGAGAGAGAUUUUCAAAUAUUCGAUGUAAUCAUUUUCAUAUUCAAAGUGAAAGAUUAUUUCUUACAUGAAAAUGUUUUUAACUGUGUGUCAGUACAGAGACAAUACUGGGUAAUACUUGGCUACGUUCAAUGACAACAAGAUCACUGAUUACAUUUUGAAGGUCUUCAUCAUUUUCUGUACUUUCCUCGUCUUCCACCAUAAUUUCCAAAUAAGUGUCUAAUCUGUUGAGGAGAGAGCCAUUCGAUGUCGCAACAUAAAGGAUCUAAAGUUGUGUAGCAAAAUCGAAUUUGUCGGAGCGGAUCAAAGACAUAUCAGAUUGAGCUGCAUUAAGGUAUCCGAUCCAUAUUAUCAAUAUUGAGUAGUAUUUUUUUUUAAUGAAUAAUUGAUUAAAACAACAUAUUAAAUAUCUGACAAUAAUUUGAAAUUUUUUUCAUGAUUUUUAACUUAAAAAUGUGUAAUAUUUCUUAUAAAUUUUAUAUACCGUACAUGUAGUAUCCUUUUCUAUAGUAAAAAAGUGUGCCGUAUUAUAGCAAUUUCAAACUGCUUAUUAGAUAUCUGUCCAGUUUUGAAUACAUUGAUUUAAAACCAUAUAUUUACAUGUACAUGUUUUUUGAGGCGAUCGUCAGAGGUACCCUACUUAGAUCUACAAGAAGUAUAUGCAUAGCUUCACUAUUAAUUCUGUUUUCUUGAUGAGUUUUCUUGAUGUUUCACGUAAAAAUUGUUUUAAUUAAACAUACAUCCUACUUAUGAAUUUACUAUUGUAAACAGUUUUAAUGUUCUGCUUUCAUUAACAUUUUCAAAGAAAACUUGAUCGAAAGCAAUGCAACUAGUCUGUAGGUAUUCGAGGAUGCAUUUUUUUUUGUCAUCUCUUUUAUACAAAGGAACUACAAGUCCCUAAUUGUUUUAAAGGAAUUUUUUAAUUUUAACACACUUCAAAUUGUAUAUAUUUUGUGUGACUUCAUUAAUUUGGGCAAAUUUGGAUUAAAGUUAUUCCUCUUUCGUUCUUUAAAAACACGUAGAGGUACAAACUAUUCCUUUGGCUGUGAAGAAGACCAUUGUUAUGUACAUGUAAUACACAAAUAAUUAAACAUGUAUACUACUGAAUAUAAACUGUCCUAUUUCGUAUGAAAUCCGCUAAUGACAAAUCUAAUUUGCCUGCACAUGUAUGUCAUUGAUAUUGUAAAUGAAUUUACUGUGAAAAAUACAAAUUUACAAU
rnacentral:sRNA from 1 species